AGAACGAACGCUGGCGGCAGGCUUAACACAUGCAAGUCGAGCGCCCCGCAAGGGGAGCGGCAGACGGGUGAGUAACGCGUGGGGAUAUGCCCAAAGGUGCGGAAUAACUCAGGGAAACUUGAGCUAAUACCGCAUGUGCCCGAAAGGGGAAAGAUUUAUCGCCUUUGGAUUAACCCGCGUCAGAUUAGCUAGUUGGUGAGGUAAUGGCUCACCAAGGCGACGAUCUGUAGCUGGUCUGAGAGGAUGACCAGCCACACUGGGACUGAGACACGGCCCAGACUCCUACGGGAGGCAGCAGUGGGAAUAUUGGACAAUGGGCGCAAGCCUGAUCCAGCCAUGCCGCGUGAGUGAUGAAGGCCUUAGGGUUGUAAAGCUCUUUCGACGGGACGAUAAUGACGGUACCCGUAGAAGAAGCCCGGCUAACUUCGUGCCAGCAGCCGC
rnacentral:rRNA from 1 species